AUUGAACGCUGGCGGCAUGCCUUACACAUGCAAGUCGAACGGUAACAGGUCUUCGGAUGCUGACGAGUGGCGAACGGGUGAGUAAUACAUCGGAACGUGCCCGAGAGUGGGGGAUAACGAGGCGAAAGCUUUGCUAAUACCGCAUACGAUCUCAGGAUGAAAGCAGGGGACCGCAAGGCCUUGCGCUCACGGAGCGGCCGAUGGCAGAUUAGGUAGUUGGUGGGAUAAAAGCUUACCAAGCCGACGAUCUGUAGCUGGUCUGAGAGGACGACCAGCCACACUGGGACUGAGACACGGCCCAGACUCCUACGGGAGGCAGCAGUGGGGGAAUUUUGGACAAUGGGCGCAAGCCUGAUCCAGCAAUGCCGCGUGCAGGAUGAAGGCCUUCGGUGUAACUAGCUUUGUACGGUAACGAACGGUGAGCUCUAAUAC
rnacentral:rRNA from 1 species